UGGUGCUGUGGUGUAGUCGGUUAUCACGUCAGUCUUACACACUGAAGGUCCCCAGUUCGAGCCUGGGCAGCACCAA
rnacentral:tRNA from 1 species